AUUGAACGCUGGCGGCAUGCUUUACACAUGCAAGUCGAACGGUAACACGCCUUCGGGUGCUGACGAGUGGCGCACGGGUGAGUAAUGCAUCGGAACGUGCCCAGCGGUGGGGGAUAACGCAGCGAAAGCUGUGCUAAUACCGCAUGUGAUCUGAGGAUGAUAGCGGGGGACCAGGCAGCAAUGUUUGGCCUCGCGCCUUUGUAGCGGCCGAUGGCAGAUUAGGUAGUUGGUGGGGUAAAGGCCUACCAAGCCGACGAUCUGUAGCUGGACUGAGAGGACGGUCAGCCACACUGGGAGGGAGACGCGGCCCAGGCUCCUACGGGAGGCAGCAGUGGGGAAUGGUGGACAAUGGGCGGGAGCCUGAUCCAGCAGUGCCACGUGCGGGAAGAAGGCCUUCGGGGUGUAAGCCGCUUUUGUACGGAACGAAAAGGCUCUGGCUAAUACCUGGGGCUAAUGACGGUACCGUAAGAAGAAGCACCGGCUAACUACGUG
rnacentral:rRNA from 1 species